GUAAAUAAAACAAAAAUAGGUGCGAUAGCUUAAUAGAGGAAGUAGGGUGAGAAUCCCUCAUAGCGAAAGCUGCUGUAUGGUGGACGAAAUCACAGAAAUGUCACUGGGAAACUGGGAAGGCGUGAAAGUAGGAUGAAGCUGAGUCAGAAGACUUACCAAUUUGUCAUAUAUUGAA
rnacentral:ncRNA from 20 species